UCGCCCUUGUGAAAUUGUUGAAAGGGAAGCGCUUGCAACCAGACCUGCCUGCAGUUGCUCAUCCGGGCUUUUGCCCGGUGCACUCUUCUGCUGUCAGGCCAGCAUCGGUUCGGGCGGUCGGAUAAAGGCUUCGGGAAUGUAGCUCCUCUCGAGGAGUGUUAUAGCCUGUUGCGAAAUGCGGCCAGCCUGAACUGAGGUCCGCGCUUCGGCUAGGAUGCUGGCGUAAUGGUUGUAAGCGGCCCGUCUUGAAACACGGACCAAGGAGUCUAACAUCUGUGCGAGUGUUUGGGUGUUAAACCCGUACGCGUAAUGAAAGUGAACGGAGGCGGGAACCCCUCGGGGUGCACCGUCGACCGAUCCUGAUGUCUUCGGAUGGAUUUGAGUAAGAGCAUAGCUGUUGGGACCCGAAAGAUGGUGAACUAUGCCUGAAUAGGGUGAAGCCAGAGGAAACUCUGGUGGAGGCUCGCAGCGGUUCUGACGUGCAAAUCGAUCGUCAAAUUUGGGCAUAGGGGCGAAAGACUAAUCGAACUAUCUAGUAGCUGGUUCCUGCCGAAGUUUCCCUCAGGAUAGCAGUAACGUUUUCAGUUUUAUGAGGUAAAGCGAAUGAUUAGAGGCCUGGGGGUUGAAACAACCUUCACCUAUUCUCAAACUUUAAAUAUGUAAGAAGUCCUUGUUGCUUAGUUGAACGUGGACAUUUGAAUGUAUCGUUACUAGUGGGCCAUUUUUGGUAAGCAGAACUGGCGAUGCGGGAUGAACCGAACGCGGAGUUAAGGUGCCGGAAUGCACGCUCAUCAGACACCACAAAAGGUGUUGGUUCAUCU
rnacentral:rRNA from 1 species